UAAGGAAUAUUGGUCAAUGGAGGGAACUCUGAACCAGCCACGCCGCGUGCAGGAAGACGGCCCUCUGGGUUGUAAACUGCUUUUAUUCGGGAAUAAACCUAUUUACGUGUAAAUAGCUGAAUGUACCGAAGGAAUAAGGAUCGGCUAACUCCGUGCCAGCAGCCGCGGUAAUACGGAGGAUCCAAGCGUUAUCCGGAUUUAUUGGGUUUAAAGGGUGCGUAGGCGGCCUAUUAAGUCAGGGGUGAAAGACGGUAGCUCAACUAUCGCAGUGCCCUUGAUACUGAUGGGCUUGAAUGGACUAGAGGUAGGCGGAAUGUGACAAGUAGCGGUGAAAUGCAUAGAUAUGUCACAGAACACCGAUUGCGAAGGCAGCUUACUAUGGUCUUAUUGACGCUGAGGCACGAAAGCGUGGGGAUCAAACA
rnacentral:rRNA from 1 species